rnacentral:rRNA from 1 species
AGCUUAGAAGCAGCUAUCCUUUAAAGAAAGCGUAAUAGCUCACUGGUCAAGCGGGUCUGUGCCGACAAUUCAACGGGGCUCAAGCAGAGUACCGAAGCUGCGAACGUAAGUGGUAGGGGAGCAUUCCCUAGGCCUGCGAAGGUUGACCGUGAGGACAGCUGGAGGCAUGGGAAGAGACUCUGUCGGCAUAAGUAGCGUAAAGACGGGCGAGAACCCCGUCCACCGUAAGACUAAGGAUUCCAACGCAAGGUCAAUCCGCGUUGGGUUAGUCGGACCCUAAGCUGAGGCCGAGAGGCGUAGGCGAUGGAAAGCUGGUUAAUAUUCCAGCACCAUGAAUACCUCGUUUGUACGAUGCAGGGACGCAGAAAGGUAGUCGCGCAGCUCUAUGGAAUGUGCUGUGAAAUCUUUCAAGGGUGAGACUUAGGGAAGUCCGGGUCUCAUGAGCCCAAGAAUUAUGACGAAAGGCGAUGAUCCUACGCUGCCGAGAAAAGCUGCUAAGGAGAGGUAUUUGUGUCCGUACCGCAAACCGACACAGGUAGUCGAGGAGAGAAUCCUCAGGUGUUUGAGUGAAGUGUGCUGAAGGAACUCGGCAAAUUAACCCCGUAACUUCGGGAGAAGGGGUACCACGGUAGGGUUCAUAGCCCGAGGUGGUGGCACAUAAAUGUCCCAGGCGACUGUUUAACAAAAACACAGGUCUCUGCAAACUCCAAAGAGGAGGUAUAGGGGCUGACGCCUGCCCGGUGCCGGAAGGUCAAGAGGAGCGGUUAGCGCAAGCGAAGCUGCGAAUUUAAGCCCCGGUGAACGGCGGCCGUAACUAUAACGGUCCUAAGGUAGCGAAAUUCCUUGUCGGGUAAGUUCCGACCUGCACGAAUGGCGUAACGAUCUGGGAACUGUCUCCAGCACAUGCUCAGCGAACUUGUAGCACCGGUGAAGAUGCCGGUUACCCGCACUUAGACGGAAAGACCCCGUGCACCUUUACUACACCUUGACAUUGAGGUUGGCGUUGGACUGUGCAGGAUAGGUGGGAGGCUGUGAAACUGGCUCGUUAGGGUCGGUGGAGCCGACGUUGAGAUACCACCCUGUGCAACGCUGAUCUCUAACUCGCACCCGUCAUCCGGGUGGAAGACAAUGUCAGGCGGGUAGUUUGACUGGGGCGGUCGCCUCCUAAAGCGUAACGGAGGCGUGCGAAGGUUCCCUCAGGCUGUUUGGAAAUCAGCCGCAGAGCGCAAUAGUAUAAGGGAGCUUGACUGCGAGUCAGACACGACGAGCAGGUGCGAAAGCAGGCUAUAGUGAUCCGGUGGUCCCGCAUGGAAGGGCCAUCGCUCAACGGAUAAAAGGUACGCCGGGGAUAACAGGCUGAUCUUGCCCAAGAGUCCAUAUCGACGGCAAGGUUUGGCAC